rnacentral:sRNA from 1 species
GCCAGGCAUAGUGACACAGGCCUGUAAUCCCAGGGACUUGGGAGGCUGAGGCAGGAGGAUCACGAGUUUGAGGCCCUAAGCAACUUAGUGAGACCCUAUCUCAA